AAGUUGGCCGCCGAUUGGGCCGCCGAUUCAUACUUAAUGAAUGUGAGAAGGCAUAUCAUCUGCUCGCAGCGACGCCAGUGGAUUAAACUUGGAAUGGUUGGAACCUUUUGUACGCAACUGUUUAAUUGUAAUCCGCAAACCGCAUUGAAAGAUUGUGCUUUGCUAUAGUACAGGUCGGAGGUUCAAAUUUCCCGCCUGUUUGUUUUGCGGCAAGUCGUGAACGAAGCCUUGUCGAAAACGCACCGUGACCGCGGCACGUGAGUUUGUGCAAGGACUUGGUUUGUGUCUUUCGAACGUCGUGGAUGGCUCCGGCCAUGAAUACUUUUUGCAAGCAUUAGGAUUCAACAGGAAUGAGACACAGAGGUUACCCAAGAUGAAUUACAGACAAUUGAGAGGGACCUGCAUGCAGUCAACAUACAUGUAAGCUGGAAGGAUGUAAAGAGGAUGGCUGCUGACCAAGCCUGCUGAGCCCACCUACUAGUAAUUGCCUCAUGUGUCUAACUCUCAAAUGGCAACCAACCAAUUGGCUGGCUGUUCCUGACUGACACUGCAAUCUCAACCUUCAAGUGCAAUAUUUUCUGGAAUUAUUGCAUGUGUCGAUGAUGAGAACAUGGCCCGCAGUGCAGGUGCAGUAGUAGGAUCCAUUGGUGUUGACGCAGACCCGUGCACCAUUAAUGAUAACUCCACACCGUCCCCGUUGUAACCAUCUGGGCAGUCUCCACACUCAAACCCAUCUGCAACAUUGGUGCAGGGCACACCAGGGAAGCAAGGCUGGAGCCCACAAUGGUCUUCUAAUGGGAUGUCACAUAACGGCCCCAUGUACAUGGCAUCACACGUGCAGGGACACUCGUACAGGGUGAAGGUGAAAGUGGACGUGGUGGCCUGUCCGCACUCGUCUGUCACGGUCACGUCCAGCGGGAAGCUGGUGACUGGAGGAGCGGGGUCCGUGUCCCAGGUCAGCUGUCCGGAGGGUUGAAGCAUCACUCCAUGUGGG